rnacentral:lncRNA from 1 species
CCAAUGGUCUCUCUCUGGGCGGGGCUGCUGUUGGACGGCCUGGGCCAAUCCGAGGCGCCGGAGGCCAAUCAGUUGGCGGAGCGGCGCGUGCGCGGGCGAGGAACUGCCCGGGCGCGGUAGCGUACGGGAAGACCGGAGAGGAGCUGCGUCUCUGCCCCGUGGGAGCCGGCGGGGCGGCGGGGCGGCGGCUGCAGCUGCAGCUCCGGCGCGAGGGCUCCCUUGCCGGGCCCUCUUCCCCGACCCCUGGGGCGCUCCGACAAGGAAGAGCCGUCCAGCGCGCGUCCGUCCUGAGCGUGGGCUAGGCAGGGCCGCACAGCGCGGGCAGAGUGCGGGAUGCGGGCACCCGGCCUAGAACCAAUUACAGAGUCAAACCCAAGAGCCGAAGAAAGUGAAGACUCGCAGCUUGCCGCAGCCCCCUCCUCGGCCUGCGCACCUCCCAUUGAGGGCGUCCUGAUUUAAACGCGUGCCUCCUGCAUUUCUGCUUCUGCCCCAGGCUAGAGCGGCGACCAGGAACGCUGGACCCACAGAGAUCUGUGGCAAUGUCUGUCGAACCAUGGUGUUCUUUGGGGCAUCUGACUAGAGUAUUGUUUGAUAACCAGAAAGAAAUCAAAAAUUGGUGAUCACAAGACUGGAACCGAUAAAUGCACCUCUGGCUCUUGAUAAUGCAAUUAUUGACUUGGUGAACAUUCUUUUCAAUUGCCAGUGGUAAAGAGGAUUAAAAGCAGUUCACAUUUAUAUGGGAAGGACAGCUCUGUAAAUGGUCUUGCUUCUUGCUGUCUGAACUCUCCUGUUCUCUGUCACAAUAGUCCUUAGGUAGCUUAUCAUCUAUAUUCCAUAUAACAUUGAUGAUGUCAUACUAGUUGGACAUGGUGAAGAAGGCCGUGCAUGUCAGAGGAUGAGCGAGAAGCCCUCAGAAGUUCUGGAGCCUGCCAUAUCAGUGACAUUCUCAGGGGUGCAGCGUUUGAGGGCAAGCCAGGGACAAGUUAUUGCAUCCUGCAUCCUUACAAGGAAGAAAGAGGCACAGCAUUGAGGCACCUCUGUGUUUUGGAGUCAGCAUGCACCGCGCUAGAGGAUACCUCUCUGACCCCUUUAUUGGGUAACGGGAAAACUGCCAGCUUUGAGUGGGGCCCAGAGAAAAAGAGGGCUCUGCUAAAGAUUUGGAUUGGGAGAUGGGCUUCCCUGCUGCAUAGAUCCAAUGGGUUACCGGGGGGCUUAUUUGGGGUAGGAAGGACCCUAUAUGGCAUCUCUGGCAAACUCCAACGGAAGAGUUGCAGUACACUGUCCUAGAGUUCUUGGACAAGACCAUGCCUUCUGCAGCAGAGAACUACUCGCCAAGUGAGAGCAGUAUCAGGCACACUACCAGACCCAGGGGAGUUGGUGAACAGCAGGAUGGAUGGGAUGUCAGUCAGCUGUGCCCCUGGCUACCCCUGUGCUUGAACAGUGGACUGUGAGUGGCGGCGUCAUGCAGAAGGAGCACAGGGUCCCAGGCCAGCAUCACUAUCCAGGAGCUUCAGGCAUGCUCCGUGUACCAACAUGGGAUCACGAAUCACAUCGCCUCAGGCCAAGAAAGCCAUUUUAUAGCGAAAGAGGCUUAGGAUCUGCUGGAUUAGAGCCUGUUUCCCAGGUAGGAACGCUUCCACGAGGGCACUCCUGCUGGUUGCAGGAAGGAUACCUCUGCUGAGCCUGAAUCUGCAAAGACCACCAGGUUACUCUCAGCUCCUCAUACUGGUGGACCAGCAGGCCACAAAGGAGGGGAUACUUGAUCCUGAUAAACGGCACUAUCACAGCUUACUGCAGCCUUGACCUCCUGGGCUCAAGCGAUCCUUCAGCCUCCUGAGUAGCUGGGACUACAGGACUUUUUAAAUACAUUCUGAUAAUCUCUGCCUUUCAAUCUGAGUUUAGAUCAUUUCUAUUUAAUGUAAUCAUUGAUAUUAUUGGGUUUAAAUCUACCAUCUUGCUAUUUAUUUGUCCCAUCUUACCUUUGUUCCAUUUCCACUUCUUUUCUGCUUUCUGAUGGAUUGAUCAAGUAUGUUUUCGUAUUCUGUUUUAUUACCACUCUUAGCUUAUUAAUUGUGUCUUGUUGUAGUUUUUAAAAUGUUUUCUCUAGGAUUUAUAAUAUACAUUUUUAACUUGUCAUAGUCUACCCUCACAUGAUGUUAUGGCAUCUACAUAUAAUGUAAGAGCCUCCUUACAGCAGUAUGUUUUCAUUUCUCCUCCCAUCCUCUGUAUUGGUGUUGUUAUGUUUUACAUCUGCAUAUGUCUUAAGGCUGGGCAUGGUGGCUCAUGCCUAUAAUCCCAGCACUUUGGGAAGCCAAGGCUGAAGAAUUCUUGAGCCCAGGCAUUCAAGACCAGCCUAGGCAAAUAGUGAGACCCUGUCUCUACAAAAAAAUAAAAAAUUAGCCAGAAACGGAACCAGGACAAAAUGAAGACAUUUUCGGACAAACUGAGUUUACUACGGAAGAUUCUCAUUAAAGAAACAUUUAAAAGGUGUAAGGAAUUGGUAUCACAGGGUGAUCUGACAAGGAAGAAGGAAUGAAGGAUAUAGAAAGAGGUUAUGCUUGUUUGCUGAUGGAAAUGAUCCAGAAGAGAAGGACAAGUUGACGAUUGAGAGGGUUAAUGUCAGGGGGAAGAAAGCGUUAAAAUGGUCGCGUCACAACAUCUUGAUUUGUCAUUGAAGGAGAAGGAGUCUGGAAGGACGCUGACAACGGGUGGUGGUCAGGAAGGAAAACCCAGUGCCUGUGGCCCAGAGGCUGGAGGAGGAACUUCAAGGAGGGAUGUUCAGCUCCCUGUGGACCCCCAUUUGUUCAUCCAUACAAUGAUGCUCUGAGGAGCACACAAGGAAGGUGCAAAUUUGAUAAAAUGUGCAUGAUGUAAGGAGCAUAAACCCCCUCAGGAAAGA